rnacentral:rRNA from 1 species
UGCAAGUCGAGGGGCAGCAUGACUGUAGCAAUACAGUUGAUGGCGACCGGCAAACGGGUGCGGAACACGUACACAACCUUCCUUUAAGUGGGGAAUAGCCCAGAGAAAUUUGGAUUAAUACCCCGUAAUAUUAUGAUGUGGCAUCACAUUAUAAUUAUAGCUCCGGCGCUUAAUGAUGGGUGUGCGGCUGAUUAGAUAGUUGGCGGGGUAACGGCCCACCAAGUCUACGAUCAGUAACUGGUGUGAGAGCACGACCAGUCACACGGGCACUGAGACACGGGCCCGACUCCUACGGGAGGCAGCAGUAAGGAAUAUUGGUCAAUGGACGCAAGUCUGAACCAGCCAUGCCGCGUGGAGGAUGAAGGCCCACUGGGUUGUAAACUUCUUUUAUAUGGGACGAAAAAGGGUCUUUCCAGAUCAACUGACGGUACCAUGUGAAUAAGCACCGGCUAACUCCGUGCCAGCAGCCGCGGUAAUACGGAGGGUGCAAGCGUUAUCCGGAUUCACUGGGUUUAAAGGGUGCGUAGGUAGGUUGGUAAGUCAGUGGUGAAAUCUCCGAGCUUAACUUGGAAACUGCCAUUGAUACUAUCAGUCUUGAAUACUGUGGAGGUCAGCGGAAUAUGUCAUGUAGCGGUGAAAUGCUUAGAUAUGACAUAGAACACCAAUUGCGAAGGCAGCUGGCUACACAAAUAUUGACA